rnacentral:lncRNA from 1 species
CGUCCGCACACGCGCCGCCAGGCGGACGCCCCUCAGCCGGCGGGGCACCGGCACGCCGCCCCGUCACGCAGCGCGGGGCCGGGGAGGGCGCUCUCCGAACGGCGGCCCAGGGCAGAGGCACGCGGGCAGAACCGCAGAGCGGCCCCGGAGCUCCCCGCGACUCCCACCGGGCCGGGCCCGCGCCGCCAAGCUGACAGGGGCCGCCCGCACCCGGCCGAGCCGCCCGCCCCGCGGUGCGGCAACAAAGGGACGGCGGCAAGCGGGCGGCGCCGCGCCGAGACGAUGCUCCUCCGCGUGAGGGAGGCGCGGCGGGCACCGCGCAGCGCGGCACGGCCACGGCCGUACGGCGGGAACGGACCGCGGGGGCGGCCGGCCCGCACCCACCCGCUCUCGCGGACCGCCGGGCAGCGGCCGUCCCACAGCGCAGCCCCGACGAGAAAGCCCGGCCCGGCUGGACUCCUCCGCCGCGCGGCCCCCACCCUCCGUCCCGCCCGCGCUCACCUGGGGCCCGGCGGCCCGUCCGCGCGCCGGCUGCGGGGCGUGAGGAGAAGAUGGCGGCAGGCCUCGCUGCGGGGCGGGCCCGGGGCCGCGCUCGGUCGGCCGGGGUCUCGCUGUCGCUCGGCGCUGCGACCGUCGCCCUCCCUCUCGUCCGCCGCCCGGCCCCCAGGACCCUCCCCGCGCCGGGGCGGGGUGCCCGUUCGCCGCCUGAGUGCAAGCGAGAAAGGACGGCCCGGCUGGGCGUCGCCGCGGGGGCGGGGAGCGGCCGGUGGCGGCGGGGCGGGGCCGCGCUUUGUUAGCGGCGGGGCGAGCACCCUCCCGCCCACGGGCCGCAGCGGGUGGCGGCGGUGCCCGGACGAGCGCCGAGGGAACCGCGGACGGGGCGGGGUCGGGCGGCGGAGCUGCGGCGGCUGCAGCUGCCGGGCCGGCAAGUGCGGGCUCGUCGACGUUCCCCGCCCAGCGCGGCGGCUCCAGGCGCGUCCCUGUGAGCGGCCUGCCCCGAGGCCUGCCCUUGGCUCGCGGCGCCUCUGAGGGCGGCGGGAACCGCCUCGGCUUCUCUGAGGAGGUCGUGUGGCGCGCGCGGCCGAGCGCCCAUCUGAGGGACGGCGCCGAGCGGCGGGAACGGGGCUGCGCGCCGCUGUCACUGCUCGUCUCCACAGCCUGGUGCCAGCUCCGUCCAGGGCCGCAUUGGUGGAAAAAUGUGUAUUUUUCACGAAACAUCAGAUGUAUAAAUGCUGUAUAUGAGAUACAGAGAUGCAUUUUCAUAUGUUUUGACAUUCGGUUAAAUUUAAUGCAUCUUUGUAAUUCUCAGAAGACAGCCGCUAAGAGUGAUGUGAACGCUGAACAUGUUUUCUGUGUUCAGACACUGAAGGGAGAUGACAUUCAGCAAACCGUGUUACAGUGCCAGUGCUCCGCAUGGACAAAACUCCGGAAUGCGCAGAGGUGUCCUGCAGUCGGGCCCGUGAGAAGCAAUUUGGGCACGGUGCCACCUGGCUGAGCAGCAGUGACUCCGCAGCAGACGAGCCAGGACUGGAAGCUGCCGGCUCCUUCUGCAGCACCCAGGUCCCAACUGCACAUCCUGGGAAGCUGGCUGGGUUCUCUAGCUAAAACACUGACCCCUUCCUCCUGCUGCAAAGGCUAUCGCUUCUUGCUUGAUUACAUCCAGAGGCAAAAGAUUAAUAGAAGAUGUCAUUAUAGAAAUGGAACUGUUUUCUAAUAGAAGUGAGGAGAAUAGCAACAGUAGAAAGUGAAGAAAGGGAUGUCAUGUCCCAUUUCUGCACAACUCCUUGCUCUGCAGUCCAGCACAACACACAUAGAAAGAACUAACUGGACUACGGGGUUGUAUCAGUUGACUUGAAAUUGUGAAACUCACCUCUGAAGAGAACAGGAUAACCAUAUAGACUGGAAGAAGGCUUGACUUCCUUCAAAAGACUUCCCUUCAGCUGAGGUUCAUCUGGAUGUUCACCAUCAUCUCCAAAGCAAACAAAUGAUCUCGUCUGAAUGGGAACCUGACUUGGGGAAAAUCUUCUCAAGCGAGGAAGACUAUCCACAGACCUUGGGGCAGUCAAGGUACGAUUUAGAGGUGUUAUUUUCAAUUCAUUUGGCCUGGGAGUCCUUUGCAUUUUUAUGUGAAAAGAUGCAUUCUUCCUGUUGGAUGACUGUGGAGAUUGAUGUGUGGAGCGAGGAGAUUCCUGUGAGAAAGGUGCGAUGGGAGACGGAGCUCCCAUUUGCCUCGAUGAAGCCUUAAACUCCCGAAGUUGCUUCUGAGGAGAAGGCUGAGGAGGAGAAAUAACCCAAGCUUGCUGCUCUCUCAUCUGCAUCAACAUCUCCUGUUGAAGGGACAGACGUUGCAUUUCUUGUUGUAGAAAGUGUAAGGAAGAAUUUAGUUUUUCAAUAGAUUUGGUAUAUUCCAAGAUAUCUCCUUCAUUGAAAUUUUCUUCGGAGGGGCUAGCUAAAUUCCACUGCUUUUCAGCAUCCAUAGGAGUAGCAGGAGACUUUGACCAUUUGUUGUGAGCAUUUUCAGGGUUUUCUUUUAUUGAUUCUGAAGCCUUAUUAGUUUGUUCAUCUGUUUUUUGAGUUUCUCUUUCUUUCAGUCUAUUACUGUCUGUGAAUAUCUUCUCAUCUUCAGCUCCUGCUGCUUCUUCUCGGAGAGGUGAUACUCCAUCGCCUUUCUUUUUCACAAUAUUAAGAAAUGCUGUUCUUCCCAUUUUCUGCCGCUGCUUAGUGAAAGCAGCUUCAACUUUCUUCUUCUGGGCUUCAAUUGCUCGUCUCUUUUCCUCCAGCUUCAUCCUAAGAUGUACCAGCUCUGAAGCCAGUAGCUGCGUAGUGUCUCUUCCUUGGGGAACAGAUGUCUCCUCAGGAAUAUGAGUCCAAGCAACCACAUGAGGAAUAUUCAGCUCAGAACCUUCCGGUGUGGUUUUCUGAGAACUGCUGCCACUGCUUCUACUAUCUGUAUGAUUCAACUUUCUGAAUUUCUGCUCUGCAAAACUAGUCAUUUUAACCCCAGAACUUGAAGAAGCACUGCUGCCAGCCUGGGACUUGGUACUUACUGAGCUAGGACAGGGACUUAAUUGAUCUCUGUGAUUGCUAGCUCUUAUGUCAUAAUCCUGAAGAAAUUUAGAUGGUUCUUCCAUGUCAGAGUCCAUGCUUACAGUAUAAUCUCUUAAAGAAGAAUCCUCAUCCAUAGUCUCCGGAAUAUCUUCCGAAGGAACGUGUAUUCCAGUAUCGACUUCUGUGUUGUCAGUCACAGGACUUAAAGCACCUUUUGUGUCUGUGAUCAGAUCAGGGGUAGACUGAUUUGGUUUUAUGUUUGAAUUCAAGAUGCUCAUUUCCUGAUUGUGAAGAAAGAACCCAUUUGUAAUUUGGUCUGUCGGGAUAACUCUGGGAGAUUUUUCGGUGUCAUGAAUUAUUUGCAAAGCCUCUUCAAUUGUUGGUGUCUCAAUCUGAUUGCCAAAAUCAUCCAGAACGGCUCUGUUUUGCAAAGCCCCGUUUGGAAACCGGCAGUGACUGCUCUCGUUGGCAUUUCUUUGAUUUGUGGUAAAAGAACGACGGACCUUUGUGUCUGUAUGAGCUACUGUGUCCUUUUCCUCUUCAAUAUCUUCAUUUUCCUCUUCUCCAUUUACUGGUCUGAAGGACAGAUUUUUUCUAAUAUGUUUGGGCACACGGUUGUUGUUUAACGUAAGGCCUUCAUUGCUUACAGAUCUAGUAAUACCUCUGUUUGGAGAAGAUACUGGAAUACUUUUUUCUUUGUCAAAAGAAAUGUCAAAUGAAACUCCAUGUAACGAUGACCUUACAGAGAAAAAAAGGAAAUAACUGAGCAACUCAUGAUUAAUAACAAAAUAUUCAUAUUUGUUCUAAAAGUUAUCUGGAGACUGUAGUAUAAAAUGGACUAUUACAUGUACUGUAUUUCGACCAGCUUCAUUUCCAAAUAGGAUACAUUAAAAAUGCACAACAUACAAUAUAAUAACACUUUCUUUAGAGCCAACCAAUGCUCUUUAGUAGCUUGGAGUAAGUUUGAUGCACUUCAAGAAUAUAAAAAUUGCCAGUCUACAUCAGAAUCAAGGUGUGAAAAGACAACUCAGACUUGCAGAAUAACCCUUUAAUAUAACUCUUAACCAUUUUACCUUUACCUUACGACCUUACGUCCUAUACAUUCAGAGUUUGAGUAGUCUAACAGAAAAAGGAGACAUCUCCAGCCUGAUCGUUUUUACUAUAUAGGAAUUAAUACCAUUUUUGAUACUAGGUUUUGAUAAUACUGAACUCAUUAGCAAUGUGACUCAACUCAUUUGGCUAAAUUGUAGUAGGUAAAUGUAAACAUAUUUAAUGCUAAUAUAUUGAAAAAAUGUUAUUUCUUAAGGUUGUUUCCUAUUACUGAGUUCUUAAUCCAUGACACAGUUUUCUCUUUGCCUUCUACUUUUGUAAACUAAUCACCAGAUUUUGAAAAUCCCAAUCACAAUGGAAAAUUUACAAUACACAAUCAUUUUUUAAUCAACUUAUGGUAAAGACUACUUACCUCUUUUCUUUUGGCCAUGUCCCUACAUAGCCAUCUACGUAAGACAUUGAUGUGGACCUUCUGAUGACUCCUAAGCAAAAUUAACAUGGAAUCCAAGGUAACAUUAAGAUGAUUUUUCAUAGCAGUAAGUUUCUGUUGCUUUAACAAAUUAGUUUGUUUCACUACUUAGAACACCGCAACAGCAGAAAUUUGUUUUCAGAACACAACUUGAACAAUUGAGUUCACCUCAUCCUGUAUAUAUAUGCUAUACUCCUUAGACAAAGAACUUAUUAUUGAGAAAAAAACAGAAUUACAGAAGCAUUUGAGUCAGAAGGGACAUGAAAAGGUCACCUAGUCCAACUCUCCUGCAACAAACAGGGACACCUACAGCUCCAUCAGGUCACAGGAGUCUGGUCUAGUCUGACCUUGAAUGUCUCCAGGAGCGUGGCAUCCACCACACCUUUUCUGGGCAUCUGCAUCAUCACAAGACCAUAGAAGGCUGGGCAGGCAGGGCUUGUCCUUGGUGAAACUAGCAGUACUACAAGUACUGCUAAAAUAUACUAAAAAUAAUUGCUGUAAGCCAUAUUUAACGUGGCAAAAAAUGAACUCAAAUUAAAAAAAAAUGCAAGUGGUACAAGCACAAACUUCCUCAUUUGUAUACUGAACAAAUUACAGAACUCAUUCACUAGCCUUUCAUCUAGGACUCUCCCAGCAACACCUGGCAUGAAUAAGCUUUGAAGAAAUUUAAGUAAGGUAGCAAUUUACUCAGAAUGACACCUUGUCUCAUCCCCCCUUAAAUCCUUUUGUAAAAUGUUACCUGGGACAGACGAAUAAGGCUGCUGGGGCGUAUGCAGUUGGUGAGAUGGUGCAUAACUUGGACUUUCCAAUCUAUAAAACAAGAUACAUUAACUUAGAAGUAACACAUCAAAAGCCACAUUAUAGAAGUACAGCAAGACUUCAUGUCCUGUGCCAACUCAAGAUUUAUUUUUUUCAGACAAGGGAAAAAGGUGUAAUUCUCCUCUUGAAGCACUAAUUAGAGGCAGCAUGCUGUAUUACUACCUUUAACUGGACUCAGUGCAGAUAGACAAAAUCAAAAAGCUAUUUCUCUUAUUGAAAUGGCCACAGAGCAGUGCUGGUUUUGUUAGUGUACACAUCUCAUAACAAUAAUUCAAGUAAAUGUCAUUGUUAGGAAGUUCUCAUUUUUAGGCUUGAUUUUAGCAACAAAAUAAAUUGGGUGUUGCAGCUAAUACCACAGUCUUCACACAACUUUCUGUUGCUUCAUCUGACAUUCUUGUGUUUCAACUGCAGUAUGUGUGAGGAGCAGAUAAAGGCGAUUCUGUGACAGAUAUGCUAAGUACAAUAAUAACACUGAUCACUACAAGAGUAGUUCAAAGGUUCUCUCCAUUUCUAGUUAGAACAGAUUUUUUUUUGGUUCACCAAGAAGGUUCGUAAUAGACUAGCUGUUUUAAUCCAGAAUAGGCUUUCAUAAUGCAGUGAUUUGAACCAGGCUCUUCUUCAGUACCAAACAGACAUGCAUGAAUACAUAUGCUUUUGUAUGUAAAACGUGUCAAGAAGGCAGACUUCAAAACAUGCUGGAUUAAAGCCUUUCAUGCUCUGAAUUUUGUUCACUGAUUAACAGCACACUCCCAAACUCUUUUUUCAGUAAUUAACUUUCAAGAUCUUUGCCCAGUACUUUUGUAGUUUACAUACAGUAUUGCUUUAGAAAUGUUUCCAAAGAAUAUUUGCGGGGAGGAUAUUCAUGUCAAUUUAAAGAAAAUAUUGUUAGUUUAUAGUACACAAAACCAUCUUCUCUCAGUAUACAUUAAAACUACUCAGAAGAGUUUCUCAUUAAUGCAAGGUUUUGGGUGUGUUAAUACUGCACAAAAGCUAAACAUAUGUUUUAAAUGGCAUUUGAGAUUUCCGUGAAAGUUUUUUAAUCAAUAUCCUCAAGUUAUCUUAAUACACGUAAGCAGUUAAUCCAGCAGCAUCUGAAAAUUUGUUUUACCACAAGAAAAUCUACAUGCCUCAUUUUCUCCCAGGAAAAGACUGAUUUUGGCACCAAGACCGUGGUUCCAUGGCAACUCAGACAUUGUAACUGCUUGCUGCCUCAGUCCCACUCCUCUGUGCUGCUCUGGUUCUCCACUGGAGUCUGCUCUGAGUCAUUGCUGUAAUUCAGCCAGCAGAGAAACAUUGACUUUCUCUGACUGGGUUACUUUUUUUUCCCCUGUCAUUGUGUACUGAAGUGACUACGUCAUACAGAAAAGCAGACAGCAGUGUCCAGUUGGAACUAGAAUGAAAGCCAGGACCAAGGCAUCCUGCAGUCAGAGCCAUCUUGACUGAUGGCAAACAGCAGCCUACACAUUAUAUUUCUAGCAUCUCAAGUAACUCCUCAGGCCUCUUCUUCAUCUCUCAAUGCUGUGAAGUACCACCAAGUUCUAUAAAGUACAUCAGUCUAUGAAUAAAGAUAUAGUUCUUUCUACUACUUACAGGUGCUCUCGUAAUACUCCAGCACCGAACCACCUCCAUCACUUUUAGAGAAACUAAACAAGUGCUGCAAUUAGAUUGCAGAAUAUGCUAUCCACUACCAACCAUACAGACUUCACAGUGAUUUUAACUGAACAUGUCUGGGAAAAAUAAGCAGUGUUAUGAAACAGUGGUGGCAACUUAGACUUGAUAGUUAAAUUUGGAAUGGUAGCAGUUUGUUUAUGAAUUGAAUUCAGACACUUAAAGCUUUCAAUAAAUCCUCUUCAAUUUCUAAUUCAAAAUAUCAGCACAGACAAAAUGUACACAUUGAGACAAAAUGCACUUUUUUUUAGAUGAAAAAGAUGCUUUGUUACUGAUAGAAUUUGUCAGAGCAGGGAUAUGUUCUGUAGAGAGAAAGGAUAAAAUAAAGAGCUAAGUAGUUCACUGGACUGCUUGCAGUAGCUGUGCAUGGUGUGAACUGGCCUUGGGAACCUCUGUUCCCAAAAGUAAACAGAAACCUACUGUUUGUUUCUCUCCUGGCAUAGAAGCUUCAUUUACACUAAAAUAACUUCAUUGUCUAUACAGGAAACACACAAGAUACACACAGUAGAACAACUCAGAAUCGUGCCAUUUUAUGAUUGUAAGAAAUUGUAUUCCCUAAUUCAAAGGCAGUAUAGAUACCUAAAUAAAAAGCAACCACCACCAAGGGCUGGCAAGGAAGAAUUCACUGAAUAUUCCAUUAAAAUGUUUAUUUUGUCCUUUGUGUUGGUUUAGAAGCUAUCAAUAAACCUUUGCCCUCUAUUUAUAAAUAUAAUGCAACACUACCUCCCACAUUCACUAGGUUCAGAUCAGAUCAUUUAAAGGCUUCCUCUACCCUGUCAAGAGAAUGAUUUAAAGACUGUGAAAGGGUACUACUGACUCUCUGGCUUUACCUGGCUACGAAGUCAGAACCACAUGGGCCAUCCACAUAAUUUCUUCUGUUAGCAUUCAAACUGUGAGCAGAAGCUGCAUCUUUUACAGGUUCAGCUGCCAAGAAGAACAAAGGUCAAGUUACCGUAGUUUAGUUAAAUGAAAGUUUAAAUUACCACGACCUCUAUGUUUACUAUCUCAAAAUCUACUUGAGAACUGCGUUUUUACAUCUAUAAAUUUACCAACAAAGGACUGUGCCUUGCAUCCAGGUGCAAAAUGCAAGUCUGAAGUUAACUACUUAUCUGCUUUCCCCAGAUGUAUGUUUCUUUCUAUUAGUAACUCUUCCUCAGCCAUACAAUAUUUCAGGCUACAUUCUGAUCUUGGCUCCUUUUUCUGAAUUAUCAUCUCUGCAAGGGCAUAAUGGAUUCUAGCCAUAUUUAGGUCAGGAAAAUUUGCAGAAGAUUAUACCGCUAUAAUUUAAAUGAGGCUUUUGCAGUAAACAACAAAUCUAAUUAUGAUUUAUGAGAUGAAAUGAAGAUUAGCAUGAGGAAAGAGUACUUCGCUUCUUUAAGGGGGUGGUACAACACCAAAUCCUGUUAACUGAGAUAUUCGCGCAUUUGGGGACGCUACAGUAAUCUGAACUCAUACAUAUUAAAAACAUGCAUAUCAAAACCAAUCCCUUAUAUAAUUACCUUGGGGAUGCCCAACAACACGAGGUUGUACAAAUGAUGGUUUCACCACUUCAAACCACCAGAACAGUUCUGCCAUGAACACCAUGUAGUUACUCUACAGGAAAAAGAAUGCAAGAAAUGUAUGUUAAAACACAACCCUUAACUGCAAGCAAAGAGAAUAAACAGUGUUUAGAAUAUCUCUGUUCCAUCCAGUUUACAUUCACAUAGCUAUCACUUUCUUAAAAAACACAGUGAGUAAUGGUGACCUGUAGUACCACCUAUCUAACAACCCUAACUCGACCAGAUCAGAACCGUUUGGGUAUCUAUGACUGUAAGGUCUGUAAGCUUUCUGCUGCCAAUCCCCCAGCUAGCAGCUAUGUUCUAAAGCAGAAAGAAACCAAGUUUUGGACUGCAAGUGAACACCUGACAAACACACUAAAUGGAAUGUCAAUUUAUUACAGAAAAAAAUUACACACGUUAGGCAUAAGAAUAUCUUUAUCAAAUAAGCUAAGAUUUAAAAAAGAAAUGUUUAAUAAUAAAUGAAAUGAUCUCAACUCUGUAUCACUGAGUUACAAAACGUAAUUUAAAAUAUCUGACAACUUAGAUUCAGAUUUAUUUUUCCUGGACAUUUCUAAUACAGAUAAGCCUCCACUUCAGAGGAGGGAUGCUCUCAGAAUGAAAGCUGCUCAUGUAGUUUAGUAGACAGUGAAGGGAUCAGCCAGAUGUUGCCACAGUUAUUAAAGACAGGCUAUGAACAGACCAGGAAAAACACUACAUCGGAUUGUUCAGCACAAUAGAAAUGGAAUGAGAAAAGAUGCAUAGCAAAACCUUUUAUGUGCAAGCUAAAUGCUAACUGUAGCAUUCUGAUACAACCAGAAAAGAAUAUACAAACAGAAAAAUGAUAUCUACUUUUCAGACAAAACGUCUGCAGUGUUACAGUUUCUAUGCCAUCCAUUAAUACCUUCAGCCUUCCUUCCCCUCAAACUUGUACAGUUUUAACUUGAAAUAACUCUUACUCUGAAAAUAAUUAUAAAAUGUUCUAAUCAUAGCUUUGUUCCCAUCUCAAGUAGUAUUCUAUUCCAAUAGGUUAAUUCUUAUUUUUAUGUAGAGAUGCUGCACUGAAUAGCACAGCUGUUCUAUGAAGGACUCAGUUAUUUCUUCUGAAAGUAUUUUCUAUGCAGUCCUGAGUUGCUGAAAUAAAGCUUGUUUUCCCAUAACCCAAAGUGGUACUUCCCAAAGCAAAGUGAAAGUGUUGGCUGCACAGCUCAAUUACAACUCAGGCUACAUUCAUGUUUUGUGAUGAAGUAUCAUGAUGGAAAACACAUU